CUUUAUUGGAGAGUUUGAUCCUGGCUCAGGACGAACGCUGGCGGCAUGCCUAAUACAUGCAAGUCGAGCGGACUUGAUGAGAAGCUUGCUUCUCUGAUGGUUAGCGGCGGACGGGUGAGUAACACGUAGGCAACCUGCCCUCAAGCUUGGGACAACUACCGGAAACGGUAGCUAAUACCGAAUAGUUGUUUUCUUCUCCUGAAGAGAACUGGAAAGACGGAGCAAUCUGUCACUUGGGGAUGGGCCUGCGGCGCAUUAGCUAGUUGGUGGGGUAACGGCUCACCAAGGCGACGAUGCGUAG
rnacentral:rRNA from 1 species